rnacentral:rRNA from 1 species
GAUGAACGCUGGCGGCGUGCCUAAUACAUGCAAGUCGAGCGAACAGACGAGGAGCUUGCUCCUCUGACGUUAGCGGCGGACGGGUGAGUAACACGUGGAUAACCUACCUAUAAGACUGGGAUAACUUCGGGAAACCGGAGCUAAUACCGGAUCAUAUAUUGAACCGCAUGGUUCAAUAGUGAAAGACGGUUUUGCUGUCACUUAUAGAUGGAUCCGCGCCGCAUUAGCUAGUUGGUAAGGUAACGGCUUACCAAGGCAACGAUGCGUAGCCGACCUGAGAGGGUGACCGGCCACACUGGAACUGAGACACGGUCCAGACUCCUACGGGAGGCAGCAGUAGGGAAUUUUCCGCAAUGGGCGAAAGCCUGACGGAGCAACGCCGCGUGAGUGAUGAAGGUCUUCGGAUCGUAAAACUCUGUUAUUAGGGAAGAACAAAUGUGUAAGUAACUCUGCACGUCUUGACGGUACCUAAUCAGAAAGCCACGGCUAACUACGUG